CCUACGGGUGGCUGCAGUGAGGAAUAUUGGUCAAUGGACGAGAGUCUGAACCAGCCAAGUAGCGUGAAGGAUGACUGCCCUAUGGGUUGUAAACUUCUUUUAUAUGGGAAUAAAACGUUCCACGUGUGGGAUUUUGUAUGUACCAGAUGAAUAAGGAUCGGCUAACUCCGUGCCAGCAGCCGCGGUAAUACGGAGGAUACGAGCGUUAUCCGGCUUUAUUGGGUUUAAAGGGAGCGUAGGUGGAUUGUUAAGUCAGUGGUGAAAGUUUGCGGCUCAACCGUAAAAUUGCAGUUGAAACUGGCAGUCUUGAGUACAGUAGAGGUGGGCGGAAUUCGUGGUGUAGCGGUGAAAUGCUUAGAUAUCACGAAGAACUCCGAUUGCGAAGGCAGUUCACUGGACUGCAACUGACACUGAGGCUCGAAAGUGUGGGUAUCAAACAGGAUUAGAUACCCGGGUAGUC
rnacentral:rRNA from 1 species